UGAACACUUGGAUGAGGAUGAGGAUGGAGCCAACACAAAGAAAAGAGCAGUCUGUAAACUCUUUUUUUACUCUACCAGUUGUUUCGUUGUUGUUAAGGAUUGUACCGAUAUGUAUGUUAUUUAGAUCAGGUAUUUUUUCCAUUAUGAUCUUUUAUACUUUCUUUAAAAGUGAACUUAAUGGAAUUAAUAUAUGUGCUUUGGUGGGAUUAAGAAUCAAUGGUCACUAUUGUGAUGUUUUAUUGAGAUCACAGUGUAAAUCAUAUAUUCAGAGAUGUAGUUGAAAAGGAUGUUUUUCAGAAACAGAUGGAUCAGAAAGUUUCAUGGGACAGCACACAGUCAGUCGUAUGUCUGGAAUUCCGCUAGUUCUGAACUAUUCGUGAUUGGAAAAAGUUCACUACUAGCAGAACUCGAAUAUACAACUGAAUUCUCAACGAAAGCUCAAGAAUAGUUUGGUCCUACAUGGCCUGCCAUUGGACAACUGCUGUAUUCACGUGAUCUACUUAUUGGAUGAAGGAUGAAGAUUAAGACCAUCCUUGGAUGUGUUACUCCAUUACUCAUAACCGAAGCACUACGGACUUGAUUACAAUCAGACAUAUAAGACACUUCCCUGUUUUCAUGUUUAGUUGUGGUAAAAUGGUGUGCUUACUACAUCAAUCUGUUUAAAA